UACGUAGGGGGCUAGCGUUGUCCGGAUUUAUUGGGCGUAAAGAGCGUGUAGGCGGCCAGGUAGGUCUGGUGUGAAAACUCGAGGCUUAACCUCGAGAUGUCAUCGGAAACCACCUGGCUAGAGUCCGGAAGAGGAGAGUGGAAUUCCUGGUGUAGCGGUGAAAUGCGCAGAUAUCAGGAAGAACACCCGUGGCGAAGGCGGCUCUCUGGGACGGUACUGACGCUGAGACGCGAAAGCGUGGGGAGCGAACAGG
rnacentral:rRNA from 1 species